rnacentral:lncRNA from 1 species
GCGUGCACAGUCCCCUGCUUUUGCUCUCUGUUCCUCGGAAGUGGCAGUUGCAUUUUUCUCCUCAUUUGUGCCACCUGUGCAAGCACAGAGAUCUUUCCCGUCGUUUAUACUUGUGCUGUAUUUCGUUCUCCAGGAGAUGUUUGUCCCGGUGCAAUCACUGCAGCCCCUGCAGCCAAGGGUGCCCGAUCCCAACCUGUCGGAGUAGGAGAGGCAGUGGAAAAUGCAAGUUUUGCAGGAUGAAAUCAGGAGUGACACGAUGUCAAGAUGAUGAAAAACUCCAAAUUACCUGAAGUUUAUUGGAGCAUCCUUAUAUCAUACACAUGUUCAAGAAAGGCAACUGAGGCUGGUCUUCCACGGGACGCCGGUGUUUGGACCUUCACAGCAGUCCACCUGAGUGACCGUGGAUGGCAGAGACUCCUCUGA